rnacentral:rRNA from 1 species
UACGUAGGGGGCUAGCGUUGUCCGGAAUCAUUGGGCGUAAAGCGCGCGUAGGCGGCCAGAUAAGUCCGGUGUGAAAGUCAAAGGCUCAACCUUUGAAUGCCGGUGGAUACUGUCUGGCUUGAGUACGGGAGAGGCGAGUGGAAUUCCUGGUGUAGCGGUGGAAUGCGCAGAUAUCAGGAGGAACACCGGUGGCGAAGGCGGGUCUCUGGGCAGUAACUGACGCUGAGGAGCGAAAGCGUGGGGAGCGAACAGG